GACGAACGUUGGCGGCGUGCUUAAUACAUGCAAGUCAACUGAAGCAGUGGUAGCAAUAUCGCUGUGGAGGUGGCGCACGGGUGAGUAACACGUAGGUAAUCUGCCUUCAGGUCUGGCAUAACUCCGGGAAACCGGGGCUAAUAGCAGAUGAUGCAGCGGCUCGACAUCGAGACAGUUGUUAAAGCUAUGGCGCCUGAAGAUGAGCCUGCGUCUGAUUAGCUAGUUGGCGGGGUGACGGCCCACCAAGGCAACGAUCAGUAGCUGGUCUGAGAGGAUGAUCAGCCACACUGGAACUGAGACACGGUCCAGACUCCUACGGGAGGCAGCAGUAAGGAAUAAUGCUCAAUGGGAGAAAUCCUGAAGCAGCAACGCCGCGUGAGGGGCGAAGGGCUUUUGCUUGUAAACCUCUGUAGUGAGAGAAAAAAAUCCCAAUCUUUGGGACAUGAUGGUAUCUCAAAAGUAAGCCCCGGCUAACUACGUG
rnacentral:rRNA from 1 species